rnacentral:RNase_P_RNA from 1 species
CGGGUCGGCCAGAUCAUCGCGGUGUGUCACCGGCACACCGAGGAAAGUCCGGGCUCCCCAGGGCAGGAUGGUGGGUAACGCCCACUCGGGGUAACCCGCAGGCCAGUGCCACAGAAAACAGACCGCCCCACCAGGGGUAAGGGUGAAACGGUGGUGUAAGAGACCACCAGCGCACCGGGUGACCGGUGCGGCUCGGUAAACCCCAUCCGGAGCAAGGUCGAGCAGGAUACGUUUGAGGGCUGCCCGCCCGAGUAUCCGGGUUGACUGCUUGAGGUCCGCGGCAACGCGGAACCCAGAUGGAUGAUGAUCCUUCGACAGAACCCGGCUUAUCGGCCGACCUGUCCG